AUUGAACGCUGGCGGCAUGCCUUACACAUGCAAGUCGAACGGUAACAGGUCUUCGGCUGCUGCCGAGUGGCGAACGGGUGAGUAAUACAUCGGAACGUGCCCGAUCGUGGGGGUUAACGAGGCGAAAGCUUUGCUAAUACCGCAUACGAUCUACGGAUGAAAGCGGGGGAUCUUCGGACCUCGCGCGGCCGGAGCGGCCGAUGGCAGAUUAGGUAGUUGGUGGGAUAAAAGCUUACCAAGCCGACGAUCUGUAGCUGGUCUGAGAGGAUGAUCAGCCACACUGGGACUGAGACACGGCCCAGACUCCUACGGGAGGCAGCAGUGGGGAAUUUUGGACAAUGGGCGAAAGCCUGAUCCAGCCAUGCCGCGUGCAGGAUGAAGGCCUUCGGGUUGUAAACUGCUUUUGUACGGAACGAAAAGCCUCUUUCUAAUAAAGAGAGGUCAUGACGGUACCGGAAGAAUAAGCACCGGCUAACUACGUG
rnacentral:rRNA from 1 species